rnacentral:rRNA from 1 species
GCGGAGGAAAAGAAAAUAACAAUGAUUCCCUUAGUAACUGCGAGUGAAGGGGGAAAAGCUCAAAUUUUAAAUCUGUUAGGUUAUACCUGACCGAGUUGUAAUUUGAAGAGGCGUUUUCUGAGGGUUUGAUCAGUCCAAGUCCUUUGGGAUAAGGCAUCAUGGAGGGUGAGAAUCCCGUUCGGUUGAUCAGAACUUCUUUACGAUACGUCAUCAAAGAGUCAAGUUGUUUGGGAUUGCAGCUUAAAAUGGGAGGUAAAUUUCUCCUAAGGCUAAAUAACGGCGAGAGACCGAUAGCGAACAAGUACCGUGAGGGAAAGAUGAAAAGAACUUUGAAAAGAGAGUUAAACAGUACGUGAAAUUGUUGAAAGGGAAACGAUUGAAGCCAGUCGUACCGGCGGGUAAUCAGCCUUUUGGGUGUGAUUAUGUGGAGCGUGAGGAGUUAAUCACCCUCAUCUUUGCAUAUUCGUGCACUUUGGGUGUACUUGCUCGUGUGGUAGGUUAACAUCAAUUUUGAUCGUCAUAAAAUGAUUGGAGGAAUGUAGCUUCGAUCUCGUAUUGAAGUGUUAUAGCCUUCGGUAGAUGUGAUGAUUGGGAUUGAGGAUUGCAACGGAUACCCUUCGGGGCUACCUGUCUGAUCUCUGAAAGUUGCUCUGGUGCUGAAAGCUUGCUUAUGGUAUCAAAGUUGACGUUCAACAGGUUAGAACGGGAUAAAUUCGUKRAGGAUGUUGACGUAAUGGCUUUAAACGACCCGUCUUGA